AAAUAAUAUGCUGUCUCAUGAUUCAAGGUGUGGUUUCCAAACAACCUCAGCAGUGGCGCUCCAAGUGGGUUUUUAAGAUCUUAUUAACGAACGACGGGAGGAUAAUUCUCGCCAAGAACACGGAUCACUUUCUACUCUACUUUCAUCUCACUUGAUGAGAGGACCAAUUUUAUUACCAGGAAGUGCGAAUAAGUAUGUCACCCAGUUGUCGCUGCGGGUUGUAAAUUUGACACUACCGAAGCCGUCAUACGCAACCAAAACCGUGUUAUGGCGAGGACUAAAUUAUGACCGGAAAAGGCCAACAAUCAAGACAAGAAUUAGGAGACUGCAUGCACGAAAAAUGGGAGAUGGGCGUAUUCAACAUAAUUCUUUAACAUAAGAGGAAUAAGUCAACUCUGGCACGGCAAUUUACCAGAGAGGGUGAGGGGGCGGGGUCUUACUGGAAGUCUGAAUUACUGGGAAUAAGUUAAGAUCCAAGUGUAGGCAAUAAUAAUAAAUAAAUAAAUAAGCCAAAUAUUUCAGAACUUUGCAUUUGAUAUAUUUCUUCGUUAUUCAAAAGUAAAUAAGAAAACAACUUAUAUAUCUUUGUAAAUGCCUGCAUUCGAUAAUAAAUAUAUACUUAUCACAAAAUA